UAGUCAUAUGCUUGUCUCAAAGAUUAAGCCAUGCAUGUCUAAGCACAAGCCGAUUAAUGGUGAAGCCGCGAAUGGCUCAUUACAACAGCCAUAGUUUCUUAGAUCUUACUUUUCUACUUGGAUAACUGUGGUAAUUCUAGAGCUAAUACACGCAAACAAGCUCAGACCUUACGGAAUGAGCGCAUUUAUUAGAACAAAAACCAAUCGGGCUUCGUCCGUCAUUUGGUGAAUCUGAAUAACUUUGCUGAUCGCACGGUCUUCGUACCGGCGACAUAUCUUUCAAAUGUCUGCCUUAUCAACUUUCGAUGGUAGUUUAUGCGCCUACCAUGGUUGUAACGGGUAACGGAGAAUAAGGGUUCGACUCCGGAGAGGGAGCCUGAGAAACGGCUACCACAUCCAAGGAAGGCAGCAGGCACGCAAAUUACCCACUCCCGGCACGGGGAGGUAGUGACGAAAAAUAACGAGACGGCUCGCUAUGCGGUCCGUCAUCGGAAUGGGUACAAUUUAAAUCCUUUAACGAGGAUCUAUU
rnacentral:rRNA from 1 species